UACGUAGGGGGCGAGCGUUGUCCGGAAUUACUGGGCGUAAAGGGCUCGUAGGUGGCCAACUAAGUCAGACGUGAAAUCCCUCGGCUUAACCGGGGAACUGCGUCUGAUACUGGAUGGCUUGAGAUUGGGAGAGGGAUGCGGAAUUCCAGGUGUAGCGGUGAAAUGCGUAGAUAUCUGGAGGAACACCGGUGGCGAAGGCGGCAUCCUGGACCAACACUGACACUGAGGAGCGAAAGCCAGGGGAGCAAACGGG
rnacentral:rRNA from 1 species